GUACACGGCCAUGCCACCCUAAACAAGCCCGAUCCCGUCUGAUCUCGGAAGCUAAGCAGGGUCGGGCCUGGAGACCACCUAGGAAGACCAGGUGCUAUAGGCA
rnacentral:rRNA from 1 species